CGGGGCAUGGCGCAGCCCGGCUAGCGCACCUGCUUUGGGAGCAGGGGGUCGCAGGUUCGAAUCCUGCUGCCCCGA
rnacentral:tRNA from 1 species